AUUGAACGCUGGCGGCAGGCCUAACACAUGCAAGUCGAACGAGUGGCGGACGGGUGAGUAAUGUCUGGGAAACUGCCCGAUGGAGGGGGAUAACUAAUGGAAACGGUAGCUAAUACCGCAUACCAUCGGAUGUGCCCAGAUGGGAUUAGCUAGUAGGUGGGGUAACGGCUCACCUAGGCGACGAUCCCUAGCUGGUCUGAGAGGAUGACCAGCCACACUGGAACGGCGACGCGGUCCAGACUCCUACGGUAGGCAGCAGAGGAGCAAAUUGCACAAUUGGCGCAAGCCUGCUGCAGCCAUGCCGAGUGUAUGAAGAAGGCCUUCGGGUUGUAAAGUACUUUCAGCGAUGAGGCGUUACUCGCAGAAGAAGCACCGGCUAACUCCGUGCCAGCAGCCGCGGUAAUAC
rnacentral:rRNA from 1 species